rnacentral:rRNA from 1 species
CCCUUAGACGUUCUGGGCCGCACGCGCGCUACACUGACCAGUGCAACAAGCAUCCGUCCUUGGCCGACAGGCUCGGGCAAUCUUUGAACGCUGGUCGUGAUGGGGAUAGACUUUUGCAAUUUUUGGUCUUCAACGAGGAAUUCCUAGUAAACGCAAGUCAUCAACUUGCAUUGAUUACGUCCCUGCCCUUUGUACACACCGCCCGUCGCACCUACCGAUUGAAUGGUCCGGUGAAAUCUCGGGACGGCGGCUUGGUCGCUUGCGUCCGACUGCUGAAACUUGAUUAAACCAUAUCAUUUAGAGGAAGGUAAANUCGUANCA